AGAACGAACGCUGGCGGCAUGCCUAAUACAUGCAAGUCGAACGAACACUUCGGUGUUAGUGGCGCACGGGUGCGUAACGCGUGGGAAUCUGCCCUUGGGUUCGGAAUAACAGUUGGAAACGACUGCUAAGUACCGGAUGAUGACGAAAGUCCAAAGAUUUAUCGCCCAGGGAUGAGCCCGCGUAGGAUUAGCUAGUUGGUGAGGUAAAGCUCACCAGGCGACGAUCCUUAGCUGGUCUGAGAGGAUGAUCAGCCACACUGGGACUGAGACGACGGCCCAGACCUCCGACGGGAGCAGCGAGUAGGGAAUACGUUGGACAAGUGGGCUACGAA
rnacentral:rRNA from 1 species